AGCGAACGCUGGCGGCAGGCCUAACACAUGCAAGUCGAACGAACCCUUCGGGGUUAGUGGCGGACGGGUGAGUAACACGUGGGAACGUGCCUUUAGGUUCGGAAUAACUCAGGGAAACUUGUGCUAAUACCGAAUGUGCCCUUCGGGGGAAAGAUUUAUCGCCUUUAGAGCGGCCCGCGUCUGAUUAGCUAGUUGGUGAGGUAAAGGCUCACCAAGGCUACGAUCAGUAGCUGGUCUGAGAGGAUGACCAGCCACAUUGGGACUGAGACACGGCCCAAACUCUUACGGGAGGCAGCAGUGGGGAAUCUUGCGCAAUGGGCGAAAGCUUGACGCAGCCAUGCCGCGUGGAUGAUGAAGGUCUUAGGAUUGUAAAAUCCUUUCACCGGUGAAGAUAAUGACUGUAGCCGGAGAAGAAGCCCCGGCUAACUUCGUGCCAGCAGCCGCGGUAACAC
rnacentral:rRNA from 1 species